rnacentral:rRNA from 1 species
UGAGGAAUAUUGGUCAAUGGGUGCAAGCCUGAACCAGCCAUCCCGCGUGAAGGACGACUGCCCUAUGGGUUGUAAACUUCUUUUGUAUAGGGAUAAACCUACCCUCGUGAGGGUAGCUGAAGGUACUAUACGAAUAAGCACCGGCUAACUCCGUGCCAGCAGCCGCGGUAAUACGGAGGGUGCAAGCGUUAUCCGGAUUUAUUGGGUUUAAAGGGUCCGUAGGCGGACUUAUAAGUCAGUGGUGAAAGCCUGUCGCUUAACGAUAGAACUGCCAUUGAUACUGUAAGUCUUGAGUAUAUUUGANGUAGCUGGAAUAAGUAGUGUAGCGGUGAAAUGCAUAGAUAUUACUUAGAACACCAAUUGCGAAGGCAGGUUACCAAGAUAUAACUGACGCUGAGGGACGAAAGCGUGGGGAGCGAAC